UGAGGAUUAUACUGUCUCUUGUAGCUAACCAAUGAAACUGAUCUUGUAGUUCAAAAGCUACAAUAUAACCACCAGACGAGAAGACCCUGUGGAGCUUUAAACCAAAACCAAAUUAAUGGCCCCCUGGUUUUUAGUUGGGGCAACUUCGGAGUACACAACAACCUCCGAUAAAAAAAAGUUAAGACAGACAGGUCUAAACAACUUGCUCGACCCAAUACUCUACUUUAGAUUAUUUGACCAAUGAACCAAGUUACCCCAGGGAUAACAGCGCUAUCCCCUUUUAGAGUCCCUAUCGACAAGGGGGCUUACGACCUCGAUGUUGGAUCAGGACACCCCAAUAAUGCAGCCGUUAUUAAAGGUUCGUUUGUUCAACGAUUAAAGUCCUACGUGAUCUGAGUUCAGACCGGAC
rnacentral:rRNA from 1 species